AAGGGAGAAGAAAGCUUACAAGGAGGAGAAUCUGGAUCCAAAGAGUUGAAACGGGGAAGAUCUGAGCGAAGAUGGAUAAAGAAUCGGAGAAAGAGAAGAGGAAACGAAGCAAAUAAACAGAGAAAGGAGAAGGAAGAAGAAGAAGGAAAAGGAGAGAUAGAGAACAAGGAAGAAAAAAA
rnacentral:sRNA from 1 species